CAACUUUAAAAGCACUAAAUUUGUACUGAACAGGAGAGCUACGAAAAGAACAUCCUCAUGAAGGUUUAAAGUGAAUGAUAUAUAUGUUUGUUAUGCCUGUGUAUUCAGUUCUGGAAACGUGGAUAGAGCUUGAAAGUUACCAGUGAAGGCUAGCUAUUUGUGGCCAAUACAACGUGGGCUUUUCUGUCUCCACAGGAAUUUCUACAGUGGCACUGGCAACAUUACUUGAAGAUUUAGUAAUAUCAGGGAACUGUAUAAGGGAUGGCAGCCCAUCUUCUUCCUGAAGACAUCUGAAGAAUUAUUUAUAUAGCAUUCUUUCAUUGAGGUACAUAUAACCAGAGGGAGAUGACUACUUUCAAACUACAGAACCUAUAUUUGACUUCCAAGGUGCAGCUCAUGUGCUUGCGCUGCUGAUCCCACAGUGCCAUGUUCAUAAGUCUUCUUUCGACUGCACUAUACAACUCCUCCAAAAGGCAUCAUGGCUGCAGUGUCAGGAUUGAAUUAAAACAUCAUAAAGAGGAGAAAUUCUUUCCACUCUCUACUUCUUCUCAAUGAUU
rnacentral:lncRNA from 1 species